UUUCUUCGGAUGAAGUGACUGAGCGGCGGACGGGUGAGUAACGCGUGGGUACCUGCCUCAUACAGGGGGAUAACAGUUGGAAACGGCUGCUAAUACCGCAUAAGACCGCAUGGUAAAAACUCCGGUGGUAUGAGAUGGACCCGCGUCUGAUUAGGUAGUUGGUGGGGUAACGGCCUACCAAGCCGACGAUCAGUAGCCGACCUGAGAGGGUGACCGGCCACAUUGGGACUGAGACACGGCCCAAACUCCUACGGGAGGCAGCAGUGGGGAAUAUUGCACAAUGGGGGAAACCCUGAUGCAGCGACGCCGCGUGAGCGAUGAAGUAUUUCGGUAUGCAAAGCUCUAUCAGCAGGGAAGAAAAUGACGGUACCUGACUAAGAAGCCCCGGCUAACUACGUGCCAGCAGCCGCGGUAAUACGUAGGGGGCAAGCGUUAUCCGGAUUUACUGGGUGUAAAGGGAGCGU
rnacentral:rRNA from 1 species